rnacentral:rRNA from 1 species
UACGUAGGGGGCUAGCGUUGUCCGGAAUCAUUGGGCGUAAAGAGCUUGUAGGCGGUCUGUCGCGUCUGCUGUGAAAAUCCGGGGCUCAACCCCGGACUUGCAUUGGGUACGGGCAGACUAGAGUGUGGUAGGGGAGACUGGAAUUCCUGGUGUAGCGGUGAAAUGCGCAGAUAUCAGGAGGAACACCGAUGGCGAAGGCAGGUCUCUGGGCCACUACUGACGCUGAGAAGCGAAAGCAUGGGGAGCGAACAGG